ACCUGCGCCGCCAUCUCACGAUCGCUCAGGCCACCACAAAUUUGGAUCAAACGGUCUGACAGCGUCGAUUUGCCGUGGUCGAUAUGAGCGAUGAUAGAGAAAUUUCGUAUGUGCUUCAUUUAUAUGAAUAUCUUCACUUAUAAUAUCAGUUGAAUACUUGAGCACAGACACAUUCAGGAAAUGGAGUUUUACCUGGAACCCUGUCAGCCUCAUUAAUGACGACGCAUAUUACACUGUUAACGCCUUGCGUUAAAGAAUGGAACUGCGGGGAAUCGCAACAGAUUUCAGCGGCUAAACGCCGUGAUAAAGACCGCGUUCGACGCGGCCCGGCAAGAAUCAAACUUCAGUUUCCACCCGCAUCGCAUCAGGCGGCAAAGCAACGUUGAGAAUCACUGGCUGAAAAGCCUCGCGUUCACCGAACACCGCAGAAACGCCCUUCGCCACAAUGAAGCCACCCACGCCGCCCAGUAACGCACCACAGGCGGAAGCCAGAUCGCUGUGGAACAGCAUUUGAAACAGGCCCGCGACCAGAAACAGGCCAAACAGUGGCGUCAUAUAAACCAACAACGCUGAACCCAACAAACUGCUUUCACGAAUGCCCAGCUCGAUACGCUGACCAGGCUGCAACGGUUCCGGGCUGGCGAUUUGCAUCACAUGCGCAUUUUUUGGCCCCAGCUUAUUCAGCAUAUGGCUGCCGCAACCUUUACGCGCCGAGCAACUGUUACAGGAGGUUUUCGCUUCUGUAUGCAGCGUCGCGAUACCCUCUUUCCACGCCACCACGGUGGCCCAUUCUCUCAUCAUUUUGCUGAUCCCGAAUCAAUGCUGUCCGCAAUACGU
rnacentral:ncRNA from 1 species